UUCCCCGCCCUCGCGCCCUGCAGAAAGCCCCGGCUGUUCCAGGAGACUAAUGCGGGGGGGCUGGGUUGGGGCGGUUGACACGGCGGCUUUUCAAGGCCCACCUUUGUUUUUUUGUUUUUCCUAAGCACUUCCUGGAAAGGCUGGACGACGACUUGGGGGCAGCUUUUCACAUCCCCAUGUGGCUUUAUGCUGUGUGACCUUGGGCAGGAUGGGCGAUGUCUCUGAGCCUCCUGGGUGUCUCAUCUGCAGAAGGCGGAGGCUCAAAUAGGAGUUGAAAGCUCAAUUUUAAAGCUCCUGCUGCCUGGAGGUCCUUCAGUAAAUAGAAUCAGACCCUGGGAUGGUGUUGGCAGAAGGCCUGUCCCUGACUGGUUCAGCAGAUUGUCUAGAAUGCAGGUGAACACCUCUGCACUGCACGGCUUGGAUGGACACCCCAAGCUGGGCAUACUUCACCUCCAGGAGGGAUAAGGGUACCCGUUCCUGCCAGAGUGUGACCCCCACCGACGAUCUGGCAAUACUAAAAUAUCCGAAUCUCUGAGCUGAUGUGGCAUCACAGAGUCAGUUUGCUGACGUGAGUGGAGCAUGGUCUGUAAUCACUGUCUGUUCCAAAGCUUAUGUUAUCGGCCCUCUGACGGAAAGACAGACAAGCCAGCAGGUCUCAUAGCUCAACAGGAGUUUCCAAUUGGCCACAGUCAACAGCAAUCUGAAGAUUUUCACGGAAAGUUCCAGAAAUAAGAGAUGCACAAGUCUUACGCUGCGUGUGCACAGUCCUGAGCAGCGUGACGGGACCUCCCGGGGCCCCUGCUUUCUCCUGCCUGGGAGGUAAAUGAGUCGACUCUUUGUGCAGCGAAUCCACACAUCAUCCACCGACCAGGUCAGGUGACCCAGGCCCAGCUGAAGAGAUGCUCCAGCUCCCCAUGUAUCCCCAGGAGGUCAGAGCAGCUCACGCCACAUCCCAGUGAUUCACUGUUAUGCACCCCCCUUCAUCUCAGCACCGAGUCUCCUCCUGUCGUCACCAGAGGGUCCCUGACGUGGCUGUGCCGUGGUGGUUCUCCGUGACGUGGAAUCCAGCACGUCCCUCAGCUGAAGUCUCUGGGAUCCACUUGUCCAGAGGAACAGUGUUUCCAAGGAAGAACCCUCGGGUCUUGGUAUCUGUGCUGCAGUUGAAUGCGGGAAUUCUUAAAAUGCAUAAGUUGGCUGAGGAAGAGGGCAGAGCCACGGGAUUGUAGGGUUUGAGCAUGAAAAACUGGCCGCUGUCCAGAGACUCAGAAGAAUACAGGAAAUGCAAGAAAUAAUAUCAACCAAAUAUGCUUCUCUUCUAAGGGACAGACAUGUGCAUAUUUUGAAGGGUGCCGCCAUAAGUAAUCUGUAUUGGCUCUGGAACUCAACAUGAGCGUGCAUUUUUGGACUCGGUGUGACGUUCAAGGACCCGUAAAUCAAUAGAGUGUUUCCACCACCGUAGGCAAGUUACAAGGUUUUUCCCUCCAAGGGCAUCCUUUUCCAGGUGGAAGAUGACCGUGGAUGACCGUAAAACCGGGAAAGCAGAACUGCACAGAGGGUAUAAAUGAAAGAAGAAUGAUCUUCGAUUCAUCGUACACAAAUGGAGCACAAUUUUUGACCUCUUCAAAGUAGGGUCACACCACUCAUGCAAUCAUACAUGUACCUGAGGUCUGACACCAUGGCUCUUUCCUAAGGACAGCUUUGCUGACGGGAGUUUGGAUCUGAUAUCCUGAAUUAAUUUUCUCAACUUUGUGGCGCUUGGAUUUCAUGAAGUAGGACGUAUUCUUCUUUGGUCUCCUUUUCCUUAUUGGUGGACUCUGACACAGACCUUUCCUCAGUACAAUUCCUGUGAUCCUCAAAGGAACUAUGUGGAGAAAAGGAGAAACAUGGCAGAGAACGUCACAGUCCAGAAAGCAUUGGUAAUAUUCCACAGUGGCCGGCAGAGAAGGGGGUUCUCUAUCCCAUAUUGUAAAUGAAGACAUAAUGUGGUGCGGAGGAUCGAACCCAGUACCUCACACACGCAAGGCAAGUGCUCUACCACUGAGCUACAGCCCCAGCCCCAGCCAUUUCUUAUUUCCACACGGGAAAACACACGAGGAAUUGGAAGGCUGCCUCCCCUUCAAAACCAGCUAAGGUAGACUUGGUAAGCCGGAAGAAUCACCAGAGACCCACCCGGUUUCCAUUUUUCUCUUCGAAGAGGCUACCAUCUGAAAACGCUCUCAGUAUUUAAAGGGAAAAAGUGACUGUUCCUCUGUCUGUUUUCUGAUAGCACACUGGAUUUAACCUCUAUUACAAUAUGUGCUAUAUAAUUUUUUUUCCUUUGGUAAGAGGGGUUGAAUCCAGGGACCCUUAAACACUGAGCCACAUUCCAGCAAUUUUAAUUUUUUUUUUUUUUGCUUUGAGACAGACCUUACCAUGUUGCUUAGGACAUCACUAUGUUGCUGAGGCUAGGCUCCAACUUGCAAUCCUCCUGCCUCAGCCUCCUGAGCUGCUGGGAUUACAGGUGUGCACCACAUGUGCUAUAUUUUCCCACAAUAAUAAUAUGAUAUAAUAUAAUGUUCACAAUAAGGGUACAGCAAAUGCAUUGGUUACCUGUGGCUAUGGAGCAAAUCAUCCCCAAAUGCAGUGACUCAAGAGGAUGACAUUGGUGACCUUGCAGCUUCUGAGGUCAGGAAUUCUGGCACGGUUCCAUGGGGUCCUCUGGCUUAGGGCUUCUCUUGAGUUUGGAGCCAGCUGGGACCUCAGUCACCUGGAUCCUAGACUGUGCCCAUCCAAGGUCGCGCAUGUGCUUGUUGGCAGGGUGGUCUCUUAGGGGCCGCGGGAGUGAGAACCUCGGGUCUUUGUGGCCAUCUACUUUAGUUCCCAGACAGGUGAGAAGAACCAGAAGUAGAGAACCGGCCAACGGGUGCAGCCUGAUCUCAGAGGUGCCUCCUAAUGCUGUAUAGUGCUGUGCCCCCGGGAAGCAACUCUCUACUUUGGAUGGGCACACUCUCAGCAGGACCCGGAGGCGGGAAGCAGGCAUUAUUGGGAGUCAUCUCAGAAGGCUGUUUGACAACAGCAUACUGGGACAAACACAACUCAUCACAUAGCCAAGACCAAAGGGGAUUGUUUUAUUUCCAGAGAGAAUAACUCCCAAUGGACCCCACUGGAAGAAUUGUAAUUGUCUUUUAAGCAGAAUUGCACUAUCUAUAAGGCACGUGUACUUCUUGCAAGAUUUUUUUUUUUUUAAUGUACUAGAACUUCCUCAGAGCCCUGGGCAUUAUUCACAUUAAAUGAGCUCUGUGUUUAUUUUAUUGGUUGUCACUAUUGAGCUACUGAGAGGCCAAAAGUGUGAAAAAGUUGGCACGAUCAACUGACCUUCAGCUCUGAGAACUUCAAAGCUGAAUAAAGGGAACAAAAUGUGCCUAUGUGUGUAUAUACAGCACGUAACAUGGAAAGGUCUAGUUUUAUUGUUCUAACAGCAUUGCACAAUCGGAACCUUAUUUUCUACUGUGUGAAGAAGCAACUUCUGUUGAAGGACACAGAAUAUUAGAUUGCAAAGUUUUAAAAUAUCUUCCCUUGAGUUUUUUUCUUGGAAGAUGAGCCUAGAUACCCAAUGCUAAUGAAGAAAGAAUCGAGGCCUUUAAAAUCCACUUUAGAAUAUUCUGAUUUUUUUUUUGUCAUGAUACAGAGACAAGAGGCUCAUUUUAUCAUCUAUACUUAUGAGCCACUG